rnacentral:tRNA from 1 species
GGCUGGUUGGUCUACAGGUUAUGUUUCUUGCCUCUGGCAUGAGAGGUCCCAGUUUCAGGUUCCAGAUGAGCCCCCA